CGUAGGGUGCAAGCGUUAAUCGGAAUUACUGGGCGUAAAGCGUGCGCAGGCGGUUUUGUAAGUCUGUUGUGAAAUCCCCGGGCUUAACCUGGGAAUGGCAAUGGAGACUGCAAGGCUAGAGUUUGGCAGAGGGGGUAGAAUUCCACGUGUAGCAGUGAAAUGCGUAGAGAUGUGGAGGAACACCGAUGGCGAAGGCAGCCCCCUGGGUCAAGACUGACGCUCAUGCACGAAAGCGUGGGAGCAAACAGGAUU
rnacentral:rRNA from 1 species